AUUGAACGCUGGCGGCAUGCUUUACACAUGCAAGUCGAACGGUAACAGGCCGCAAGGUGCUGACGAGUGGCGAACGGGUGAGUAAUGCAUCGGAACGUGCCCAGUCGUGGGGGAUAACUACUCGAAAGAGUAGCUAAUACCGCAUACGAUCUAUGGAUGAAAGCGGGGGACCGUAAGGCCUCGCGCGAUUGGAGCGGCCGAUGUCAGAUUAGGUAGUUGGUGGGGUAAAGGCUCACCAAGCCAACGAUCUGUAGCCGGUCUGAGAGGACGACCAGCCACACUGGGAGUGAGACACGGCCCAGACUCCUACGGGAGGCAACAGUGGGGAAUUUUGGACAAUGGGCGCAAGCCUGAUCCAGCAAUGCCGCGUGCAGGAAGACGGCCUUCGGGUUGUAAACUGCUUUUGUACGGAACGAAACGGCUCUGGUUAAUACCCGGGGCUAAUGACGGUACCGUAAGAAUAAGCACCGGCUAACUACGUG
rnacentral:rRNA from 1 species